rnacentral:rRNA from 1 species
GAUCCUGGCUCAGGAUGAACGCUGGCGGCGUGCCUAAUACAUGCAAGUAGAACGCUGAAGGAAGGAGCUUGCUCUUUCCGGAUGAGUUGCGAACGGGUGAGUAACGCGUAGGUAACCUGCCUGGUAGCGGGGGAUAACUAUUGGAAACGAUAGCUAAUACCGCAUAACAGUAGAUGUUGCAUGACAUUUGCUUGAAAGGGGCAAUUGCUCCACUACCAGAUGGACCUGCGUUGUA